rnacentral:rRNA from 1 species
UACGAAGGGGGCUAGCGUUGCUCGGAAUCACUGGGCGUAAAGGGUGCGUAGGCGGGUCUUAAGUCAGAGGUGAAAUCCUGGAGCUCAACUCCAGAACUGCCUUUGAUACUGAGGGUCUUGAGUAUGACAGAGGUGAGUGGAACUGCGAGUGUAGAGGUGAAAUUCGUAGAUAUUCGCAAGAACACCAGUGGCGAAGGGCG